rnacentral:tRNA from 1 species
GCCAAGGUGGCGUAGCCCGGGAACGCACUAGACUGAAGAUCUAGGUAUCAGGGGUUCAAAGUGUGUUUUGCGAUUCGCAACAAUAUGAAAUUCCCCUUCUUGGCA